UCUCCAGGACUUCGAAAGGGUACUUUUGGAACACCAAUAGGCAUGAAAAAAAAGAAAAAAGAAUUAAGUACUAUAUUUCACUUUGAUGUGGAAACGUAACAAUGGGUUUAUUAUCUUUAUAAUAUUGUCCUUUAUCAUAUUUUAUACAUAGAUUAGAAAUACAGAAUAAAUAAGGGAAAAUUCUUAUGAAUAGGCCCAAAAAAAUUUCGGAUUGCCUAGUAUUCCACCAAUUAGUAACCCAAG
rnacentral:lncRNA from 1 species